UACGUAGGGUGCGAGCGUUGUCCGGAAUUAUUGGGCGUAAAGAGCUCGUAGGCGGCUUGUCGCGUCGGAUGUGAAAGCCCGGGGCUUAACUCCGGGUCUGCAUUCGAUACGGGCAGGCUAGAGUUCGGUAGGGGAGAUCGGAAUUCCUGGUGUAGCGGUGAAAUGCGCAGAUAUCAGGAGGAACACCGGUGGCGAAGGCGGAUCUCUGGGCCGAUACUGACGCUGAGGAGCGAGAGCGUGGGGAGCGAACAGG
rnacentral:rRNA from 1 species